AUGCCUUAAACUAAUGAGUAAGGAAAAUAGCAGAUCGGUUUGAGACCCGAUCCUCCGGACUUAGUCCUGAAGUAUUUUUGCAGGGUUCAGGCUGUCCCUUCGUGGCCCCCUACUUAGGGGCUGCGGAGGCGCUAGCGGCCUGCCCA
rnacentral:snRNA from 1 species